AACGCUCCCGUGACCUACCCUGUAGUUCCGGGCUUUUGUUUAAAUGGCGUUCGGCACAUUGUCGGACUGCUGGCUCGAUUAUCAGAAGCUCGUCUCUACAGGUAUCUCACAGGGUAGAA
rnacentral:pre_miRNA from 1 species